rnacentral:lncRNA from 8 species
AUGACACUCCAGAGAGACCCUAUUCUACAUGAAUCAUCGCAUCGAGGACCGGUCAAGAUGCAAAAGCAGAACAAUGUGAGAGGUGAAAGGGAGCUUGGUGAUGGUGGACCCCCUUUUUGCUUUAGUUGUGAAAUGAUCUUUCCAGACCAAACCUCAUUUCAUGACCACUUUUGUCCUGCGGCUGGUUACAUCUGCUCCUGUGGAACAGAGUUCUCCAUGUAUGUUGACAUGAUGGACCACAGUGGGUUACAUGAACCAGGCCACACUGUAAUUAAUUAUAGCACCAUAAAGAAGGAACAAUAUCAGAGGGAGAGAGAGUACAAGGAGCAGCUUUCGAGGCUGGUAUUGACGGCGGGGCAGGGAAGCUGGGCUCAGCCUGGACCGACUCCGAUGCUAUCGGCCCCUAUGCCACGAGCCACAAAGCCUCCACCUGGUCCAAGUGCCCCAACAACGGACCUCUGGCACCAAUUCCAGCCAGUGGUGUUGGUGGAGACCUUGCGCAAGUUUGGAAGGACAAAGCCCUACAGGUGUGCCUACUGUGAACUGGGCUUUGCAACAAAAGACUUACUCGUAUGGCACCACAACACUCAUGCAAGAAAUAAAGUCCAUGGCUGCCUGCGGUGCGGGGUUCUUCUGCUCAGCAAUAACAAGUCACCACAGCCUGGCCACCACCAGUGUGGAUCAUAUCGGGCAACUCCUGAAACCAGAUUUACCACUGCCACAGUGCUGAGUAACAGGAAACAGCCCGUGGGGUAUGCUAAGGUUGUCCAGCGUCAGCACUGUCCUGACCCGUUCAAUGGGGAGCUGCAGCUAGGGAUGCAUAUGGUCUCACAGCAGCCCGUUCCAGGGACUUCUGGAACAAAAUACUUGAAGUGUAGAGUUUGUCAGGAGCCCUUCCAAACUGUCAAGCUGCUCGAGAGGCACCGUUGCACAAUGGCAGCAUCCUUUUUUGCGCAGGAACUGGGUCUGACGUCUGGCAAACAGCUCAAUGGUCACAGAAAAGGGAAGGAGGGGACCAGCCCAUACUCCUUUCCUCAAAGGAAUGGUGACAAGGACCUGGCGUUCAACAUUCAAACUUCAGCGAAUGUAACUAUAUACGACCACAAGGCAGUAGGCCCGGAUAGGGGCACCGGGUUGUCUGCCAUUUCUGUAAAAACUGAGGUUUCAGAUGAUGACUGUUUUGUGAUUGAGGAUGCGUUUUCGUGCUAG